GGAUUAGUCUCAUUUUAAUUGAAUAUCCACAGAUUUUUAUGGAAUAAUACAAAGCAAAAAAAAUCUGAAUACAUAUUGAACAGAGAUCUAGGUCUGCUACCACCAACCACCUAAUUACAAACACGGUAGAAAAAUGACAUUUCACACGUUUUGUUUGUUUGUUUUUUUUACAGGUCGGUUUGGGUUGAAAGGACCCACUGGAAAGGAAAAAUAAAACAAACCUGAAAUUGUGAAAUUGUGGUUUCUUGCCAUGCAUUCAGGGAAAUAAAGAUCUCACCUGUGGUGGUUUUACUCAGUGAAAGGAAAAAAAAAAGAGCAGCUUUGUGUAUCCAGAGGGAUCCGUCCCUGCCUUGAGGGAAAUCUUGCUCAGCCAGAAUUCUCCUGGAAAUAUUCUUGAAGUGGUGAAACAGGCAGGAUCCUCACGAGUUCCCGGAUCCAAAUUUCCAGAGCCGACGUCACACCUGAACCCAGUCCCGUGCCCUGCGUUCUCCAGUGGGGGGGGAUAUUCCAGGCAGGAAUGCUGAUGGAUGAGGGCCCUCAGGAGGGAAACUUCCACCAUUUUAGCAGCUUGUCUCUGCAGUGGGAGGUAUUUGACAGGGAGUGAUUGUCCAGGGCCGUGACAUCGAGACGAAGACGAGGCGUGGAAACUGUUCCCAUGGCUCCUCCCAAACCCAGACCUUCUCGGGGUGUGCGUGGAGAAGAUGCCCUCAGGAAGGUUCUGUGGAGGCUGCCAUUCCAUGGGGGGACUCCUUCAGAGCUCCCAGAGUGCCUUACACACCAGAAUGGAACAAAUCAGGGAAAAAAACCCCCCAAAACGUGGCAUUUCCCCACGGGAAUGAGGA